CUCGCUAACGCAUCCGCUGAAGGAAAAAAAACACUCCCGAACCAUAAACGAUUCCAGAUCGAUGUUGAGGGGAAGGGACUAAUCGAGUCCCGAUCCAGGCUGAGGGCGACGGGACUGCAUCGAUUCCCCUCCAGAAUCGAGCCGCAGAGAGGGGCGGCCGGUUCCAUCUAGUAAAGGUGCUUGUGUGCGUCCGUCCACCUGAGGUCUGGGAUGGGAUCGAGUCGAUCCGAGCGAUAGGAGGAGCGGGAUGCAGGAGCCGAGUACAUCCGGUCGAUCCCACCAAUCAGAGGAGCGGGAUUAAAUGGUAGACGCCUCAUGUACUGGUGAUGUUCAUGCUACGCCACGGUUGUCUACUGGUUUGGAUUUGCAUUUUACACAGGCGUAUGAUUAGUAUACCAGUACAAUUAGGAGCUUGUGCUCAAAAUUCUUAUCCAUGUUAAUCCACGCUUGGGUUGUAAUUCAUGUCUCUUUAUUUUAGAUAGCUAGAUUUCAUUGGUUAAAGACCAUUUGGUGUAGUGUAUUGAUCUCUCAUAUCCAUCUUUGUGGUAGAGGUUCAUGAAAUCUGUAGAGCAGAUGCUUAUGCUUCCAAUGUUGAAAAGUUAGAAGAAGAUGGUUUUCCUGCAUAUUACAUUUUCACAUAUUUAGAGAAGAAAAUUCUCGGACUUUUUCACAAAGGAGUAGUACUCAUAUUACUUCAGGGACAACGGGUACAUCAUAUAGAAUUAACUGAACCGAUAUUUUGCAUGUCCAUACUUCAUAGCGCACAUGAUGCUUUGUCAGACAGGUAAUAAUACUACCUCUGUAAAGAAAUAUAAGAGCGUUUACGUCACUACUUUAGUGAUCUGAACGCUCUUAUAAUUUGAGUACAAGUUAAUGUCUUCUAUGAUCGACCGAAGGAUGCAUUGUCUCUUUUUAACCAUGGUAUAAUUAGGCACAAGAGAGUAAGAACGAAUGAGCUUUAUCCAAACAGAGCAUAGUACUACAAAUUAACAUCUUACAUAGCGUACCUUGCAUGUUCAUAGAGCACAUGAUAUAGGACUGAUGCUACACUGUCUUACUCUAACUACCCUAAUAAGCAACAUUAGUCAGCAGAUGCUAGACUGAUGAACUGGCACAUGGAGCUACAGAGACAUAAGAAACUGAUUGGGCUUAGAAACACAUACUCCUAGCAACAUUAUACAUGAACCUGAGACAUGGAAAUAGGGUCACAACACUCGCCCUAGGACGUCGUUCAUGUAGGGGCAAACCUAGGAUGCCUCCAAUGACCUUUAAGGUUGGAGCCCAGCUCACUGACGGAGUGGAUACCAUCUCCGCUGCAUCAAAGUUGCUCCCUGCUGCACCGGUCUGAGUAUGGACCCCUUCGCCGUCAGCGAACAGAGAGCGGCACCCUAACCCGCUGCACCUUCAGAGAAAAGACUGGUAUUUUACAGAUCUGGAUUUUCAAGGAAAUACUUGAACUCAUCUUGGUUGAAAGCAAGUAAAUGCUGCUGGGUAAUGUCCUACAUAUGCUCUUUGUUGUUUCUUGUCCUACCAACUCGACUGUUUUUUAAGAGCAUGAUGGAUAGACAGAUGAUCUUAUAUUCUUGAAGUGGAACAGAACAAUCACAAUAUGUGGAUGCUCAAAAUCACUACCAUGUUUAUUUGUUCAAAUAUCUAGUGAUCAUUCUGGAACUCACAUAGCUAGAUGAUAAUAGGGGUGCAUGUGAAGAUGGUAGGAAGCUUAUUUCCAUCUUACCAUGAAACUUCUCCCAAUUACAUACUCCUAUGUUUAAGCUAUUGCAAAAAUAUUCAGUGUGGUUGGCCAGUUGAAUUAUUAUUUAUGUGUUACCAUGUAUUCACUUCUGACCCUUACAGUGUUCUUAGGCGCUUCCUCAGUUCCCCUAUUUUAUAUUGUCUGGUAAGUCAUUUACCUAUUUGUUACGUUCGUGUCUAUCAUUUUUGUGAGCACACAUUAUUCUGAUGUGCAGCCUACCUACAAUGGAAUCGUAAUUUAGAGGAAAGAAACUUCCAUGGUAUUGAAUUUAACAUCUUUGUAGCUUACACAACUAUGUUGAUAGUCAAUCCCUUUUAUGCAUGACCAGAAUAACCAAAAUUUUAAAAGAAAAACUGCAUAAAUCAUGAUUCUGGAUAAGUGGAGUUCAUUUUGCAUCAUUUUGAAGGCCAUAAUAAUAACCUUUGCAGAAUUUAAUUUUUAUCUGAUUCCCCUAUUAUGUAAGCAUCGAAAAAAGAACUACCCCCAAUCAACGUUUGCACUAUAAUAACCAACUGAGUGAAAGUAGUGUGCGGUGAAAAACCCAACAAUUACAACAAAAGCGCGGGUGGACAACACCAGCCAGUGAAGGAGUCUUACACGUGUGGAUUCAUGAGACAUGUUUCUACCUGCACAUAAGCUUACGAUGCCUUUCAUUUUUCUGUGUAAUUUUGGCAAUGUAAAGUUUUAAGCAGCGAUUGCAGUGAAAAUAUGGUGCUUUCAGUUUUCUUCUUUAUUUUCCUGCCAGAUUGCUGCACAUUGCUGCGCAGGAAGGGCAAUAUAUUGCUUGGUAUUUUAGCAGGGUACCGGAUGCUGGAGUAAAUCCUUAUGGUCGAAUAUGUAUGUGCAAUGGGAGAAC